rnacentral:rRNA from 1 species
UACGAAGGGGGGCUAGCGUUGCUCGGAAUCACUGGGCGUAAGCGCACGUAGGCGGCUUUCUAAGUCAGAGGUGAAAUCCUGGAGCUCAACUCCAGAACUGCCUUUGAUACUGGAGAGCUCGAGUCCGGAAGAGGUGAGUGGAACUCCGAGUGUAGAGGUGAAAUUCGUAGAUAUUCGGUAAGAACACCAGUGGCGAAGGCGGCUCACUGGUCCGGUACUGACGCUGAUGUGCGAAAGCGUGGGGAGCAAACAGG